GCCUGGGUGGCUCAGUCGGUUAAGCGGCUGACUUCGGCUCAGGUCACGAUCUCACAGGUCGUGAGUUCGAGCCCCACAUCGGGCU
rfam:Felis catus isolate Cinnamon breed Abyssinian chromosome E1, whole genome shotgun sequence.